rnacentral:rRNA from 1 species
AAAGCGUGCGCAGGCGGUUAUAUAAGACAGAUGUGAAAUCCCCGGGCUCAACCUGGGAACUGCAUUUGUGACUGUAUAGCUGGAGUGCGGCAGAGGGGGAUGGAAUUCCGCGUGUAGCAGUGAAAUGCGUAGAUAUGCGGAGGAACACCGAUGGCGAAGGCAAUCCCCUGGGCCUUCACUGACGCUCAUGCACGAAAGCGUGGGGAGCAAACAGGAUUAGAUACCCGAGU